AACGAACGCUGGCGGCGCGCCUAACACAUGCAAGUCGAGCGAGAAGACGUAGCAAUACGUUUGUAAAGCGGCGAACGGGUGAGGAAUACAUGGGUAACCUACCCUCGAGUGGGGAAUAACUAGCCGAAAGGUUAGCUAAUACCGCGUACGCUCCUUGGACUUCGGUUCAGGGAGGAAAGCGAUACCGUGGGUAUCGCGCUCUUGGAUGGGGCUCAUGUCCUAUCAGCUUGUUGGUGAGGAACGGCUCACCAAGGCUUCGACGGGUAGCUGGUCUGAGAGGACGAUCAGCCACACUGGCACUGCGACACGGGCCAGACUCCUACGGGAGCAGCAGUAAGGAUAUUGCGCAAUGGGCGAAAGCCUGACGCAGCGACGCCGCGUGGGGGAUGAAGGUCUUC
rnacentral:rRNA from 1 species